AUUGAACGCUGGCGGCAGGCCUAACACAUGCAAGUCGAGCGAGCGGCGGACGGGUGAGUAAUGUCUGGGAAACUGCCUGAUGGAGGGGGAUAACUACUGGAAACGGUAGCUAAUACCGCAUACCAUCAGAUGUGCGCCGGUGGGAUUAGCUAGUAGGUGGGGUAACGCCUCACCUAGGCGACGAUCCCUAGCUGGUCUGAGAGGAUGACCAGCCACCUUGGAACUGAGACACGGUCCAGCCUCCUAGGGGGGUCAGCAGUGGGGAAUAUUGCACAAGGGGCGCAAGCCUGAUGCAGCCAUGCCGCGUGUGUGAAGAAGGCCUUCGGGUUGUAAAGCACUUUCAGCGGGGAGGCGUUACCCGCAGAAGAAGCACCGGCUAACUCCGUGCCAGCAGCCGCGGUAAUUC
rnacentral:rRNA from 1 species